rnacentral:lncRNA from 10 species
UUAAUUUCAGUGGGCACCAUCUAAUCAGGGCCAGUGCAGCCAAAAUAUAAAGUAGACAGAAAAACAUAAAGAGGCUAGAAUGGCUUAGCAUCUUUCUCCCGCACUGGAUGCUUCCUGCCCUCGCACAUCGGACUCCAGCUUUGGGACUCGAACUGGCUUCCUUGCUCCUCAGCUUGCAGACGGACUAUGUUCACACUUGUGAACGUAAUGAAGCUGGAGCCCAUCCGCAGGGAGUCCUCCCCGUGCUCUUGGUGGUGUGGACCAGCUUCCCACCAAGAUGGGAGCCAGAGGAGCCGCCUGGGUCCCAGCUGCCUCACCCCUUCUCCCUGUGUCCACUCUGAAACAGUGGGGACAAGGAGCCGUCUGAGAGAUGAAGCUGCAGUCCCCGCGACCCACCGCAUGUCCAGGACAGAUCAGACCCUCCAGGAAAUACCGCUGGUGAGAUGAGACUGUCUUCUGUCUGGGCAAGGGCUAAUUUGCAUUCAGUCGUGCCCCAGCCUCACUCCUAAAGACACCUGCUCAUUCUGCACAUCAAGGGAGGGCUGGUGCUGCAACUGAAUGGAAAAUACAAUUCAGAGCCAUCAAAAUAAAGGCACGGUCACCUUAGAAAAUGGAAAUGUUCACACUGUUAAAUCCUUCAUGAUAACCCUAGGAGAAUGGAUAAGAUCAAUUACUGUUCCGGGUUUCUUCCAAAUCUGAAUUUCUGCAACAUGGUUUGAUCUCUAUGAAUGACUAACAUUUUC